CCCCUCAAGUAUUAGGGGAAUGGCACUGUCCAAUUAGCCACGCACAUCUACAGGUGUUACAGGAGCAAGAAUCAACUAGCUGGGAACCUGAACCUGGAGCAGAGCGAGGUGGACUUUGUGGAGCUGAAGCCCGGCAGAAUGAGGUCCAGACAGACGCUAACAAACAGGAGCCAAGAAGUGACUGACAUGUUUCGGGGUCCCAGCGGAACACCUGCCCCCCCCCCACCCCCCGUCCAGAGGCUGGCAGGUGCAGAAUCGCUCUACUUUUGAUCUAUCCACAGAGUGCCUGGCUGUGAUUAUCCCCGGCUCUCUGCCUUUGAUUCAUGUGUUGCUGCACCGUGGAAUCCAUCUGUUUCAGACCGCCUAUCGCCCGCUUUUAGAAAAUGAUUGUGCUGCACAGAAUCGCAGAGGAGAACACCUACACUUUCUCAUGAUAAGAAAUACAUUGUGGGGAAUAAAAAUAACCAUUCAUGCUCGGCCGUGGCGAGGCAUGCUGGGACUGAGAGGGUAAUUGUAUUGAACCAGAAACAUUCAAUGGUAGGAACAGCUCCUAAAUUGUAAAGAGGACUGGUUUUAUAACUGGCACACAUUCAUUCAACAAUGAGCCAAU